AGUGAACGCUGGCGGUAGGCCUAACACAUGCAAGUCGAACGGCAGCACAGUAAGAGCUUGCUCUUACGGGUGGCGAGUGGCGGACGGGUGAGGAAUACAUCGGAAUCUACUUUUUCGUGGGGGAUAACGUAGGGAAACUUACGCUAAUACCGCAUACGACCUACGGGUGAAAGCAGGGGAUCUUCGGACCUUGCGCGAUUGAAUUAGCCGAUGUCGGAUUAGCUAGUUGGCGGGGUAAAGGCCCACCAAGGCGACGAUCCGUAGCUGGUCUGAGAGGAUGAUCAGCCACACUGGAACUGGGACACGGUCCAGACUCCUACGGGAGGCAGCAGUGGGGAAUAUUGGACAAUGGGCGCAAGCCUGAUCCAGCCAUACCGCGUGGGUGAAGAAGGCCUUCGGGUUGUAAAGCCCUUUUGUUGGGAAAGAAAAGCAGCAGGUUAAUACCCCGCUGUUCUGACGGUACCCAAAGAAUAAGCACCGGCUAACUUCGUG
rnacentral:rRNA from 1 species